CCCUUAGAUGUUCUGGGCCGCACGCGCGCUACACUGAUGCAUUCAACGAGUCUAAAACCUGCUCUGAUAGGGGUGGGUAAUCUUUUGAAUGUGCAUCGUGAUUGGGAUAGAUGAUUGCAAUUUUUCAUCUUCAACGAGGAAUGCCUAGUAAACGCAAGUCAUCAGCUUGCAUUGAUUACGUCCCUGCCCUUUGUACACACCGCCCGUCGCUCCUACUGAUUGAAUGAUCCGAUGAAUAUCAUGGAUUGAGGAUUAUAGCAGGUUCGCCUGUCUUGAUCUUCGAGAAGUGAAGUAAAUCUUAUCAUUUAGAGGAAGGAGAAGUCGUAACA
rnacentral:rRNA from 1 species